GCUGCUUAACGAAUCCAUCAACCGACAGCACCGUGCUUACGUGCACAUCACGCAGGGGAAUGAUGUUGUCCCCGUUCUUCGCGCUCGUGCGCCAAAGAAAGCUUGGCCGAUUCACCCCCAGUGGGUUCCUAGGUUGGCGCGUGCCGGGCUACUUCCCCUUGCCCGCAUGAUCGAAGCGACGGGGAUGAUGUAGCUGAUAAUGAUGACGACCAUGAGCAGCCAGAGCGGUCCAGACGCUUCCCGUACGACCAGUCCCUCCUCUCGGCCUUGGUGGACCGCUGGAGACCCGAGACACACACGUUCCACAUGCCGUUCGGGGAGAUGGCUGUUACUCUACAGGACGUCUCCAUGCUGACUGGCCUUCCAAUACAAGGAAGCCCCAUUGGACCGUUCGUGACAUCGGUCACAUGGCGUGAGGACUUGGUUCACCGGUUUCAGGGUGUCCUACCCAACCAACAAUUGGACUUGACAAUUUCAGCAAAUAAGAAGCACGGACCUUAGCUCCAGUGGCUCAAGCUUUUUAGGCUGCAGAGGACGGUGCACGACUACACGCCUUACCAGCUUGCUCGUCACUUGGAGGCGUACCUGCUAUGGUUGUUUGGUUGGGUUAUGUUUACCAGCUCACAUGGAGACACACUAGAUGCUCGUUGGAUACCCUACGCUAGGGCUAUUGCUGAGAAUGAGCUGCACGAGAUUCCUUAGCUUUUUUGGGGUUCGGCGGUCCUUUGCUGGACGUAUAGAGGUUUAUGUCAAGCAUGCGUGAGGAAGAAGUCCAACUCCAACAUGACGGGUAUGCCUCUACUAGUGAACCUCUGGUCCUAUGAGUGGUUUCAGGUUGGACGACCAUAUAUCCAACCAUAGCAGUACACCGCGGAUAUGUACGGAGCGGGUAUGAUCGACCGGCCGACCAUGGGCUCCCAUUGGACAAGACGUCGGCCGCAGUGGGCGGGGGUUCAGGUUUGCUCCACGUACGAGGCAUUCACUGAGCAGUUCGACCACAUGAGGCCUGAGCACGUCACUUGGGAGCCUUACACAUAGCGCGCCAUCCACGUCAGGAGUAAUGACCUAGGCAUUUCUGAGGCGUGUUAUCAGGAGCAGAACUACUGGAUGACAUGUAAGAAUCUCAUGUUCGAUGUCUUCGUUGAGGAUUAUGCGGUGCAUCGCGUCAUGAGGCAGUUUGGCCUACGGCAGGAGGUUCCGAUGCCUUUGGGUGACCGCAUCGACCCUGCGGU